rnacentral:rRNA from 1 species
ACUGCUCAGUAACACGUGGAUAACCUGCCCUUGGGUCCGGCAUAACCCCGGGAAACUGGGGAUAAUUCCGGAUAACGCACAUAUGCUGGAAUGCUUUAUGCGUCAAAUGGAUUCGUCUGCCCAAGGAUGGGUCUGCGGCCUAUCAGGUAGUAGUGGGUGUAAUGUACCUACUAGCCGACGACGGGUACGGGUUGUGAGAGCAAGAGCCCGGAGAUGGAUUCUGAGACAUGAAUCCAGGCCCUACGGGGCGCAGCAGGCGCGAAAACUUUACAAUGCGGGAAACCGUGAUAAGGGGACACCGAGUGCCAGCAUCAUAUGCUGGCUGUCCGGGUGUGUAAAAUACACCUGUUAGCAAGGGCCGGGCAAGACCGGUGCCAGCCGCCGCGGUAACACCGGCGGCCCGAGUGGUGAUCGUGAUUAUUGGGUCUAAAGGGUCCGUAGCCGGUUUGGUCAGUCCUCCGGGAAAUCUGACGGCUUAACCGUUAGGCUUUCGGAGGAUACUGCCAGGCUUGGAACCGGGAGAGGUAAGAGGUACUACAGGGGUAGGAGUGAAAUCUUGUAAUCCCUGUGGGACCACCUGUGGCGAAGGCGUCUUACCAGAACGGGUUCGACGGUGAGGGACGAAAGCUGGGGGCACGAACCGGAUUAGAUACCCGGGUAGUCCCAGCCGUAAACGAUGUUCGCUAGGUGUCAGGCAUGGCGCGACCGUGUCUGGUGCCGCAGGGAAGCCGUGAAGCGAGCCACCUGGGAAGUACGGCCGCAAGGCUGAAACUUAAAGGAAUUGGCGGGGGAGCAC